UAACUUAGUGGCGAACGGGUGAGUAACACGUAGGGAACCUGCCCAUGUACCCGGGAUAACAGAUGGAAACGUCUGCUAAAACCGGAUAGGUAUAGACAAGGCAUCUUGACUAUAUUAAAGGACCUUCGGGUGUGGACAUGGAUGGACCUGCGGCGUAUUAGCCAGUUGGCGGGGUAACGGCCCACCAAAGCGAUGAUACGUAGCCGGCCUGAGAGGGUAGACGGCCACAUUGGGACUGAGACACGGCCCAAACUCCUACGGGAGGCAGCAG
rnacentral:rRNA from 1 species